UCGCGGUCACAGAAUGUGACA
rnacentral:miRNA from 1 species